UCCGAUGUGGUGUAACGGCUAUCAUACUGCGCUUUCAUAUUACCAGAUUUGGAAGUGCCGCAGGGACCGGGGUUCGACUCCCCGCAUCGGAG
rnacentral:tRNA from 1 species